rnacentral:lncRNA from 10 species
ACCUCACACACCUCACUACUCCGUGCUACUUCCUUAUUUUCAGGAUUAUCUGGGUGGCAAUUCAGUGCCAGUUUCCUGAUAUGCCUUUUUAAUAUGCUGGGGUAGGCAGGUCUGCACGCCUAGAACCUCACAGUAACCCCCAUGCUUUAACACAUGGUGAGAACAGGUCCGAGGAUGUGUGGUGGUGGUGAGUAGCAGGACAGGUGGGUGGUGUGGUUUCUUCUGUUUCAUUUUUCUCAUUUCUGCUGAUUCGAUCAACU